AUCUCAGACCCAAGUCCCCAACAGUAAGAGAACAGAAAACCAGUCUGAAAAAGUCAGGUUGAAUAAUUUUCACUUUUCAGGAUAAAUUGGGAUUUGGUGGCCAAGUGGUGGCGGCUUGUAGCUUGUGUACCAGGCAAAGCCGCAAAGGACGAUAAUCUCUCUAUUGCUAUUGCUGCUGAUUCUGUGGCACUUUUUGGAAGUGAAAGAGAAGAGAAUGAAAUAAUUGAGACGAUUUGAUUUUAGCAAAACCAAUUUUGGAUGUAUUUAAAUCAUGGAGUAUUGGUCCACUUGGCCUAAAUUAAGAGAGAGAGAAGAGAAGAGAAGAAGAUCAAAUCAUGGCUGGGUGGUCAUCAUCGUCACUUCUAUCUCCUACUAUUUCUGAAGAGAUAUCUCAACUUACCUUCCUAGGUUGGUUUUCAUGGUUUUCCAUGUUAAGCUAUCUGAACAAUUUAUGAAAAGCAGACGAAACCCAGUGGCGCACCACCGUACCUCCACUGAAACCCCACCACCACCACCACCACCAAAGGCCACCAAAUCCGGCGACUCUUAAAUUUAAUAACGAAAUCUUUCCUUUCUGUAGACUGGUAAGCCUU